GGGCGUAAGAGCUUGUAGGUGGUUUGUCGCGUCUGCUGUGAAAAUCCGAGGCUCAACCUCGGACUUGCAGUGGGUACGGGCAGACUAGAGUGUGGUAGGGGAGACUGGAAUUCCUGGUGUAGCGGUGGAAUGCGCAGAUAUCAGGAGGAACACCGAUGGCGAAGGCAGGUCUCUGGGCCAUUACUGACACUGAGAAGCGAAAGCAUGGGGAGCGAACAGGAUUAGAUACCCUGGUAGUCCAUGCCGUAAACGUUGGGAACUAGGUGUGGGUCUCAUUCCACGAGAUCCGUGCCGCAGCUAACGCAUUAAGUUCCCCGCCUGGGGAGUACGGCCGCAAGGCUAAAACUCAAAGGAAUUGACGGGGGCCCGCACAAGCGGCGGAGCAUGCGGAUUAAUUCGAUGCAACGCGAAGAACCUUACCAAGGCUUGACAUACGCCGGAAUCACUCAGAGAUGGGUGCGUCUUCGGACUGGUGUACAGGUGGUGCAUGGUUGUCGUCAGCUCGUGUCGUGAGAUGUUGGGUUAAGUCCCGCAACGAGCGCAACCCUCGUUCUAUGUUGCCAGCACGUCAUGGUGGGGACUCAUAGGAGACUGCCGGGGUCAACUCGGAGGAAGGUGGGGAUGACGUCAAAUCAUCAUGCCCCUUAUGUCUUGGGCUUCACGCAUGCUACAAUGGCCGGUACAAAGGGCUGCGAAACCGCGAGGUGGAGCGAAUCCCAAAAAACCGGUCUCAGUUCGGAUUGGGGUCUGCAACUCGACCCCAUGAAGUCGGAGUCGCUAGUAAUCGCAGAUCAGCAACGCUGCGGUGAAUACGUUCCCGGGCCUUGUACACACCGCCCGUCAAGUCACGAAAGUCGGUAACACCCGAAGCCGGUGGCCCAACUGCCUUGUGCAGAGGGAGCCGUCGA
rnacentral:rRNA from 1 species